UGGGGAAUUUUGGACAAUGGGGGCAAGCCUGAUCCAGCCAUGCCGCGUGUGUGAAGAAGGCCUUCGGGUUGUAAAGCACUUUUGUCCGGAAAGAAAAGCUUUGGGUUAAUACCCCGAAGUCAUGACGGUACCGGAAGAAUAAGCACCGGCUAACUUCGUGCCAGCAGCCGCGGUAAUACGAAGGGUGCAAGCGUUACUCGGAAUUACUGGGCGUAAAGCGUGCGUAGGUGGUUCGUUAAGUCUGAUGUGAAAGCCCUAGGCUCAACCUGGGAAUUGCAUUGGAUACUGGCGAGCUAGAGUGCGGUAGAGGAUGGUGGAAUUCCCGGUGUAGCAGUGAAAUGCGUAGAGAUCGGGAGGAACAUCUGUGGCGAAGGCGACCAUCUGGGCCAGCACUGACACUGAGGCACGAAAGCGUGGGGAGCAAACAGGAUUAGAUACCCUGGUAGUCCCUGAGCGGGC
rnacentral:rRNA from 1 species